rnacentral:lncRNA from 1 species
CAUCAUGUUCCUCUGGAGAGCUUCCAUCCUUCCCUUUGAAUGGAUCAACCAGCUGUUCCACCACGAGGCUUUUUGAAUGAGAAAAGGAAAAAAUUGGACCUCUCCGUCUGGAACCUAUCAUAUUUUCUAAUUAUCUAGAUUUUUCCAGUUUAAUGAUGGAGAACUGAUGGGAAAAUUUAAGCUAAUGGCUGUUCUGGUUGGACAUCUGAAUCCUGGGGUUCCAGAGUGUGGAAGAAAUUUCAAAACAGCUAUCUUUAUUGUCAAAGCUCUGCUACGAGCAUUGACUCAUCCCCACUACUCCACAACAGGGCUGAAAUCUGACUUCUACUGGACAAAAUAUCAAGCAAGAUGUGCCCUCCUGCAUUCUACCUACCUUUAGGGAGGGAGGCUCCCACUGACGUUUUUACCUUACACGGACGGGCAUGUUUGGGUCCGGUCGGGAAAGAGGUGCCGGUUGCCUUCACCCUAUUACUAAAAAGGCAGUGUGAGGGGUCAGGAGGCCUCCUCCAGCCUCCCGGGUCUACUCUGGGUGGAGCCGCGGGAGGAAGACUAGGGUCACUCCAGUGGGUUGAAGGCCUGCAAUGCUGUCAGCGCUAAAACCAGCACAUCAUCCGCAAAUCGGAACAGAAAGAAUACAUAUAAGGAUGUUCAUCACAGUGUUGUUUAUAAUCCUGAAAACUUGAAAAUGAAUGUUCACCAUUAGCAUUUCAGUCAAAUAAAUAAAGGGAGAAGAAGGCAAUAUUUUGGCCUGAGUGUUGGAGGAGUAGGGACUGGUCAGUGCAGGACAGCCAGGCUGAGGGAACAGCAUGCACCAAAGGCAUGAAGUCACAACAAAACGUGGCACCUUUGUCAGCCGUAUCGCCCCGGCAUCUGACACCACAGAGCAGUCCCUCCUUCUGGAAACUCUCCUCCUUACCUUUCUGGGUCACUGUUCUCUCUGGGCUGCUCUGUGGCUCCCGCCAGCCAAGCAGGCACCAGGGGGCCCUGAGGGAAUGAGGCACAGGCUAAUGACCUUGGUUUUGUUGAGUGGGGGCUCCGUAGAGAUCAUGAGAAUUAAACCAACCUACUUCAUAAUGUUCUGGAUGCUCAGGCCAAUGCACCACGGCGAAAGGACCUAGAAUCCAUAGUCAACGGACUUGAGUUCAAGUUGAGGGCGAUGGCCCAUGGCAGACAUGAUAUUUGACCUCCCUGAGCCUCAGUAUCUUUAUCCACAAAAUGGGACAAUAAGAACAUCUAUCCUGUAGGGUUGUUGAGAGAUUUAAACAAGACUUGAGAAAAGCCCCUUACCACUAACUAUUUAUCAUCAGAAGAAGCUGCCUACAAUCGUAACAGCAGGGCAAAACCGCAAAGGCAAAAUGCAAGGCCGUGACAUUUCAGCAGGUCAUUUUUGGCUAAGAAACCAGCGCUCACGACAAGUGCUUGUGAUAUAUCCUUGUGGUCGGACCGCCGGUCACAAGUUCUAAUUAAGGAAACGCUCUCUGACAGACCAGUCGCUGACGUGAGUCACUGAGGUCAGCCGUGUCACUCCCUGACCGGGGAACUCUCCUGGAAAUGGUUUGGAGAUAAGUAUGUUCUCAUGAAAAGAAAGCAGUGAUUUAUAAUCAUUUUCACCCAGGAAGAUUAAUUUACAGUCCUGACAGGAACCGGCUUCUGCAACAGCAGGUGGUAAAAAUAACUCUGCCAGGGCCACCUCCUUUUACUUCCUUGAAGCGCCCUCUCUUGCAUUUGCUCCU